rnacentral:rRNA from 1 species
AUUGAACGCUGGCGGCAUGCUUUACACAUGCAAGUCGAACGGCAGCGCGGGCUUCGGCCUGGCGGCGAGUGGCGAACGGGUGAGUAAUACAUCGGAACGUGCCCAGUAGUGGGGGAUAGCUCGGCGAAAGCCGGAUUAAUACCGCAUACGACCUGAGGGUGAAAGCGGGGGAUCUUCGGACCUCGCGCUAUUGGAGCGGCCGAUGGCAGAUUAGCUAGUUGGUGGGGUAAAGGCCUACCAAGGCGACGAUCUGUAGCUGGUCUGAGAGGACGACCAGCCACACUGGGACUGAGACACGGCCCAGACUCCUACGGGAGGCAGCAGUGGGGAAUUUUGGACAAUGGGCGAAAGCCUGAUCCAGCAAUGCCGCGUGUGUGAUGAAGGCCUUCGGGUUGUAAAGCACUUUUGGCGGGAACGAAAAGGACUGUGCCAAGACCACGGUUCGAUGACGGUACCCGCAGAAUAAGCACCGGCUAACUACGUG